rnacentral:rRNA from 1 species
GUUGAACGCUGGCGGCAUGCCUUACACAUGCAAGUCGAACGGUAACAGGUCUUCGGAUGCUGACGAGUGGCGAACGGGUGAGUAAUACAUCGGAGCGUGCCUAGUAGUGGGGGCUAACUACUCGAAAGAGUGGCUAAUACCGCAUGAGAUCUACGGAUGAAAGCAGGGGAUCGCAAGACCUUGUGCUACUAGAGCGGCCGAUGGCAGAUUAGGUAGUUGGUGGGAUAAAAGCUUACCAAGCCGACGAUCUGUAGCUGGUCUGAGAGGACGAUCAGCCACACUGGGACUGAGAAACGGCCCAGACUCCUACGGGAGGCAGCAGUGGGGAAUUUUGGACAAUGGGCGCAAGCCUGAUCCAGCAAUGCCGCGUGCAGGAUGAAGGCCUUCGGGUUGUAAACUGCUUUUGUACGGAACGAAAAGCCCCGGGUUAAUACCCUGGGGUCAUGACGGUACCGUAAGAAUAAGCACCGGCUAACUACGUGCCAGCCGCCGCGGUAA